rnacentral:rRNA from 1 species
AGAGUUUGAUCCUGGCUCAGGACGAACGCUGGCGGCGUGCCUAAUACAUGCAAGUAGAACGCUGAAGAGAGGAGCUUGCUCUUCUUGGAUGAGUUGCGAACGGGUGAGUAACGCGUAGGUAACCUGCCUUGUAGCGGGGGAUAACUAUUGGAAACGAUAGCUAAUACCGCAUAACAAUGGAUGACCCAUGUCAUUUAUUUGAAAGGGGCAAAUGCUCCACUACAAGAUGGACCUGCGUUGUAUUAGCUAGUAGGUGAGGUAACGGCUCACCUAGGCGACGAUACAUAGCCGACCUGAGAGGGUGAUCGGCCACACUGGGACUGAGACACGGCCCAGACUCCUACGGGAGGCAGCAGUGGGGAAUAUUGCACAAUGGGGGAAACCCUGAUGCAGCGACGCCGCGUGGAGGAAGAAGGUCUUCGGAUUGUAAACUCCUGUUGUUGAGGAAGAUAAUGACGGUACUCAACAAGGAAGUGACGACUAACUACGUGCCAGCAGCCGCGGUAAAACGUAGGUCACAAGCGUUGUCCGGAAUUACUGGGUGUAAAGGGAGCGCAGGCGGGAAGACAAGUUGGAAGUGAGAUCCAUGGGCUCAACCCAUGAACUGCUUUCAAAACUGUUUUUCUUGAGUAGUGCAGAGGUAGGCGGAAUUCCCGGUGUAGCGGUGGAAUGCGUAGAUAUCGGGAGGAACACCAGUGGCGAAGGCGGCCUACUGGGCACCAACUGACGCUGAGGCUCGAAAGUGUGGGUAGCAAACAGGAUUAGAUACCCUGGUAGUCCACACUGUAAACGAUGAUUACUAGGUGUUGGAGGAUUGACCCCUUCAGUGCCGCAGUUAACACAAUAAGUAAUCCACCUGGGGAGUACGACCGCAAGGUUGAAACUCAAAGGAAUUGACGGGGGCCCGCACAAGCAGUGGAGUAUGUGGUUUAAUUCGACGCAACGCGAAGAACCUUACCAAGUCUUGACAUCCUGCGACGCACAUAGAAAUAUGUGUUUCCUUCGGGACGCAGAGACAGGUGGUGCAUGGUUGUCGUCAGCUCGUGUCGUGAGAUGUUGGGUUAAGUCCCGCAACGAGCGCAACCCUUAUGGUCAGUUACUACGCAAGAGGACUCUGGCCAGACUGCCGUUGACAAAACGGAGGAAGGUGGGGAUGACGUCAAAUCAUCAUGCCCUUUAUGACUUGGGCUACACACGUACUACAAUGGCGUUAAACAAAGAGAAGCAAGACCGCGAGGUGGAGCAAAACUCAGAAACAACGUCCCAGUUCGGACUGCAGGCUGCAACUCGCCUGCACGAAGUCGGAAUUGCUAGUAAUCGCAGAUCAGCAUGCUGCGGUGAAUACGUUCCCGGGCCUUGUACACACCGCCCGUCACACCAUGAGAGCCGGGGGGACCCGAAGUCGGUAGUCUAACCGCAAGGAGGACGCCGCCGAAGGUAAAACUGGUGAUUGGGGUGAAGUCGUAACAAGGUA